CGCGUAGGCGGGCAGGCAAGUCGAAGGUGAAAUCCCACGGCUCAACCGUGGAAGUGCCCCCGAUACUGCCUGUCUGGAGGGAGAUAGGGGCGUGCGGAACUUCCGGUGGAGCGGUGAAAUGCGUAGAUAUCGGAAGGAACACCGGUGGCGAAAGCGGCGCGCUGGAUCUCUUCUGACGCUGAGGCGCGAAAGCCAGGGGAGCGAACG
rnacentral:rRNA from 1 species